rnacentral:rRNA from 1 species
GACGAACGCUGGCGGCGUGCUUAACACAUGCAAGUCGAACGAUGAUGCCCAGCUUGCUGGGCUGAUUAGUGGCGAACGGGUGAGUAAUACGUGAGUAACCUGCCCUUGACUCUGGGAUAAGCCUGGGAAACUGGGUCUAAUACUGGAUACUACCUUUCAUCGCAUGGUGGGGGGUGGAAAGGGUUUUACUGGUUUUGGAUGGGCUCACGGCCUAUCAGCUUGUUGGUGGGGUAAUGGCUCACCAAGGCGACGACGGGUAGCCGGCCUGAGAGGGUGACCGGCCACACUGGGACUGAGACACGGCCCAGACUCCUACGGGAGGCAGCAGUGGGGAAUAUUGCACAAUGGGCGAAAGCCUGAUGCAGCGACGCCGCGUGAGGGAUGACGGCCUUCGGGUUGUAAACCUCUUUCAGUAGGGAAGAAGCGAAAGUGACGGUACCUGCAGAAGAAGCGCCGGCUAACUACGUGCCAGCAGCCGCGGUAAUACGUAGGGCGCAAGCGUUGUCCGGAAUUAUUGGGCGUAAAGAGCUCGUAGGCGGUUUGUCGCGUCUGCUGUGAAAGCCCGGGGCUCAACCCCGGGUCUGCAGUGGGUACGGGCAGACUAGAGUGCAGUAGGGGAGACUGGAAUUCCUGGUGUAGCGGUGAAAUGCGCAGAUAUCAGGAGGAACACCGAUGGCGAAGGCAGGUCUCUGGGCUGUUACUGACGCUGAGGAGCGAAAGCAUGGGGAGCCGAACAGGAUUAGAUACCCUGGUAGUCCAUGCCGUAAACGUUGGGCACUAGGUGUGGGGGACAUUCCACGUUUUCCGCGCCGUAGCUAACGCAUUAAGUGCCCCGCCUGGGGAGUACGGCCGCAAGGCUAAAACUCAAAGGAAUUGACGGGGGCCCGCACAAGCGGCGGAGCAUGCGGAUUAAUUCGAUGCAACGCGAAGAACCUUACCAAGGCUUGACAUUCACCGGACCGCCUCAGAGAUGGGGUUUCCCUUCGGGGCUGGUGGACAGGUGGUGCAUGGUUGUCGUCAGCUCGUGUCGUGAGAUGUUGGGUUAAGUCCCGCAACGAGCGCAACCCUCGUUCUAUGUUGCCAGCACGUGAUGGUGGGGACUCAUAGGAGACUGCCGGGGUCAACUCGGAGGAAGGUGGGGAUGACGUCAAAUCAUCAUGCCCCUUAUGUCUUGGGCUUCACGCAUGCUACAAUGGCCGGUACAAAGGGUUGCGAUACUGUGAGGUGGAGCUAAUCCCAAAAAGCCGGUCUCAGUUCGGAUUGAGGUCUGCAACUCGACCUCAUGAAGUCGGAGUCGCUAGUAAUCGCAGAUCAGCAACGCUGCGGUGAAUACGUUCCCGGGCCUUGUACACACCGCCCGUCAAGUCACGAAAGUUGGUAACACCCGAAGCCGGUGGCCUAACCCCUUGUGGGAGGGAGCCGUCGAAGGUGGGACUGGCGAUUGGGACU